rnacentral:rRNA from 1 species
UACGUAGGGGGCAAGCGUUUGUCCGGAUUUACUGGGCGUAAAGAGCGUGUAGGCGGCCACGCAGGUCCGUUGUGAAAACUGGAGGCUCAACCUCCAGCUGUCGACGGAAACCGUAUGGCUAGAGUCCGGAAGAGGAGAGUGGAAUUCCUGGUGUAGCGGUGAAAUGCGCAGAUAUCAGGAAGAACACCAAUGGCGAAGGCAGCUCUCUGGGACGGUACUGACGCUGAGACGCGAAAGCGUGGGGAGCGAACAGG